rnacentral:lncRNA from 1 species
UGUUCAUUCCAUUAAAGAAUGUGUUAACUUUUAAGCUACACAAAAAUAUAAAUUUGUGGCCUCCAAAAAAGUAACUCUGUUUUGAUGCACAUAUUUGACCUUUUUGUGUGUACACCACAACUGAAAAGUUGUAUCUAUGAAAAUUUGUGUUGUACACACUACACAUCUAUAUGCACAUGAGUAAUUUUUCCAGAACUUUGGAAGGUUUCAAAUUAUUGUUUUUGAUUCUUUUUUUAAAAGAAAUGACUCCAUGUAGCUUUGUUCUGUUUCGAUUUUUCAACGGUUGAAGCCAAUAUUUUCAUCCUUGAAGUACAACCACCAUG